UACGGGGGGAGCAAGCGUUGUUCGGAUUUACUGGGCGUAAAGGGCGCGUAGGCGGUCAGCACAAGUCAGUUGUGAAAUCUCCGGGCUUAACUCGGAAAGGUCAACUGAUACUGUGCGACUAGAGUGCGGAAGGGGCAACUGGAAUUCUCGGUGUAGCGGUGAAAUGCGUAGAUAUCAAGAGGAACACCGGUGGCGAAGGCGGCAUCCUGGACCGAUACUGACGCUGAGGAGCGAAAGCCAGGGGAGCAAACGGG
rnacentral:rRNA from 1 species